rnacentral:misc_RNA from 1 species
GAUGAAGAACGUAGCGAAAUGCGAUAAGUAAUGUGAAUUGCAGAAUUCAGUGAAUCAUCGAAUCUUUGAACGCACAUUGCGCCCCCUGGUAUUCCGGGGGGCAUGCCUGUUCGAGCGUCAUUUCAACCCUCAAGCUCUGCUUGGUAUUGAGUCCAUGUCAGCAAUGGCAGGCUCCAAAAUCAGUGGCGGCGCCGCUGGGUCCUGAACGUAGUAAUAUCUCUCGUUACAGGUGCUCGGCGUGCUUCUGCCAAAACCCCAAUUUUUCUAUGGUUGACCUCGGAUCAGGUAGGGAUACCCGCUGAACUUAAGAAUAUCAAUAAGCGGAGGA